GUCUUACACUGAAAUGUCCUUUCUUCUUUCCGAUCUGCUUUGCUAGGAUAUAAUUUUUAAAAAAAACUAUUUUAGAGAUUGUGAAAUAGAGAUCAGCCAAAUGUGAGGUGCCAAGACUCCUCCCAUGGCUCCUCUAAGCCAAUCACAGAUGGUGCUCGAGGACAUUGGUAAUAAAAGGAAUCGUCUGGCAACGAGUGGAGCAGGUUUCGCUGAGGAAGUUUGGCGUAAAGGACAGACAGACAAACACACCGACAAUGGCAGCGAGGAUUCUGGUGCUUUCUCUUCUUGCACUUCUCCUUCAUGUUGGAACACUUUUUGCUGAAAACACCACCACACCACACCCCCACUGACAUCCCCACUGACAACUACUAGCAACUCCACAGAUCACAACGGAGGUGGACAAGUUUUAUUCGUCCAUCCGCUGCUUUUGUUUUCGACUGCUGCCCUCGCUGUUGCCUGCUUGCUGAGAAAGAACUGAACUUGACCACCGACCUCACAGAACUGUGUUGACGACCUUUUAUCACUUUCUGCAUUCUUCCUUAUCUCUCAUUGCUACUUCCUUCUCUUACAAUAAUGUCAAAAUAUGAACUAAUGUUGCAGUAAAAAAAUAAGACAAAUUGUA